rnacentral:rRNA from 1 species
AUUGAACGCUGGCGGCAUGCCUUACACAUGCAAGUCGAACGGCAGCACGGGUGCUUGCACCUGGUGGCGAGUGGCGAACGGGUGAGUAAUAUAUCGGAACGUACCUUAUUGUGGGGGAUAACGCAGCGAAAGCUGUGCUAAUACCGCAUAAUCCCUAAGGGGGAAAGCGGGGGACCGUAAGGCCUCGCGCAAUUAGAGCGGCCGAUACCUGAUUAGCUAGUUGGUGAGGUAAAGGCUCACCAAGGCAACGAUCAGUAGCUGGGCUGAGAGGACGAUCAGCCACACUGGGACUGAGACACGGCCCAGACUCCUACGGGAGGCAGCAGUGGGGAAUUUUGGACAAUGGGGGCAACCCUGAUCCAGCAAUGCCGCGUGAGUGAAGAAGGCCUUCGGGUUGUAAAGCUCUUUUGUUAGGGAAGAAACAGCAGCUCUAACACAGUAUGCGAAUGACGGUACCUGAAGAAUAAGCACCGGCUAACUACGUGCCAGCCGCCGCGGUAA